rnacentral:rRNA from 1 species
UUGAUCCUGGCUCAGAAUCAACGCUGGCGGCGUGCCUAACACAUGCAAGUCGAACGCGAAAGUCCCGCAAGGGAUGAGUAGAGUGGCAAACGGGUGAGUUACACGUGGGUGACCUGCCUUCGAGUGGGGGAUAACGUCCCGAAAGGGACUCUAAUACCGCAUGACAUCCUGCCUUUGAAGAGGUGGAGAUCAGAGCUGGUGACCGCAAGGCCUGGCGCUUGAAGAGGGGCCCGCGUCUGAUUAGCUAGUUGGUGGGGUAACGGCUCACCAAGGCUUCGAUCAGUAUCCGGCCUGAGAGGUCGGACGGACACACUGGGACUGAGACACGGCCCAGACUCCUACGGGAGGCUGCAGUGGGGAAUUGUUCGCAAUGGGCGCAAGCCUGACGACGCAACGCCGUGUGGAGGAUGAAGAUCUUCGGGUCGUAAACUCCUUUCGAUCGAGACGAAUGGCUUCCGGGUGAACAGCCCGGGAGAAUGACGGUACCGAGAGAAGAAGCUCCGGCUAACUCCGUGCCAGCAGCCGCGGUAAUAAGGU